GUGGGGAAUAUUGGGCAAUGGGCGCAAGCCUGACCCAGCCAUGCCGCGUGAGUGAUGAAGGCCUUCGGGUCGUAAAGCUCUGUGGGGAGGGACGAAUAAGCACGGUGCUAAUACCGCCGGGCCUUGACGGUACCUCCUUAGCAAGCACCGGCUAACUCCGUGCCAGCAGCCGCGGUAAUACGGAGGGUGCAAACGUUGCUCGGAAUCAUUGGGCGUAAAGCGCACGUAGGCGGCUCGUUAAGUCGGACGUGAAAGCCCAGGGCUCAACCCUGGAAGUGCGUUCGAUACUGGCAGGCUUGAAUAUGGAAGAGGGUCGCGGAAUUCCCGGUGUAGAGGUGAAAUUCGUAGAUAUCGGGAGGAACACCAGUGGCGAAGGCGGCGACCUGGGCCAAUAUUGACGCUGAGGUGCGAAAGCGUGGGGAGCAAACAGGAUUAGAAACCCCGGUAGUCC
rnacentral:rRNA from 1 species